rnacentral:snRNA from 12 species
AAAAAGGGUACUCGCUACUUCGAUAGCGCGUCGAUCCGCAAUAUUGUGGAGCGGCGGGGUAUGGCCAUCAAGACAUACCCAGUAUGUAAUUUUUGUAACCGAGGAGGCUGUGGGCUGCCAAAUGCACUAACGCCUCC